CAGCAGUCGCCACGGUAAAACGUAGGUGGCAAGCGUUGUCCGGAAUUAUUGGGCGUAAAGGGCUCGCAGGCGGUUUCUUAAGUCUGAUGUGAAAGCCCCCGGCUCAACCGGGGAGGGUCAUUGGAAACUGGGAAACUUGAGUGCAGAAGAGGAGAGUGGAAUUCCACGUGUAGCGGUGAAAUGCGUAGAGAUGUGGAGGAACACCAGUGGUGAAGGCGACUCUCUGGUCUGUAACUGACGCUGAGGAGCGAAAGCGUGGGGAGCGAACAGGAUUAGAUACCCCAGUAGUCCCUGUCUCUUAUAC
rnacentral:rRNA from 1 species